rnacentral:rRNA from 1 species
CCUACGGGGGGCAGCAGUGGGGAAUAUUGCACAAUGGGCGAGAGACUGAUGCAGCAAAGCCGCGUGAGCGAUGAAGGCCUUCGGUUCGUAAAACUCUGUCCUCCAGGAAGCUAAUGCCGGUACUUGAGGCGGAAGCCGCGGCUAAGUACGUACAGGCAGCGGCGGUGAUACGUCGGCGGCUGGCGUUAUCCGGAAUUAGUGGGCGUAAAGGGGGCGUAGGUGGUUUCUUAAGUGAGAGGUGAAAGGCUGGGGCUCAACCGUAGUAAGCCUUUGAAACUGGGGAACUUGAGUGGAGGAGAGGAGAGUGGAAUUCCUGGUGUAGCGGUGAAAUGCGUAGAUAUUAGGAGGAACACCAGUUGCGAAGGCGGCUCUCCGGACUCUAACUGACACUGAGGCACGAAAGCGUGGGGAGCAAACAGGAUUAGAUACCCCAGUAGUC